CGGGCAUUAAUGUGUGCUGUGACGUCAUAGCAGGUAGGAAACCAACAUUGUGUCCACCGGUGUAUAUCCAUUUCGUCGAUUCCACCGGUGGAUCGGGUCUGACGAGCGUAACGGUUGGUGUGUUAGCCACACGCGUCAAACGGAAUGAUUUUGUGUUUGCUUUUGUAUUCAGCUUUUGAUCUUUCGGGAGAAAAAAGGCUAAAAUUAUCUGGCUAAUGACUAGUUGAUGCAUAUUUAACCAAUGAACUGCUAUCAAUUAGCUAUCGUUCUCAUCUUUCUUCCUUCUCUCCCCUCUUUCAGCGUUGCCACAGAAUAUAAGAAGUUAUUAGGUGUGAACGAAACAAUUUUUUCAAAAAUUUCCACUCGAUGGUAUUUUGAUCGUUUAUAUAGUACGUUCCUUUUAAAGAAAUUUAUUUUGGCAUUAAAGAGAAUUCAAUUUGUUUUAGAUUUUUAUCUUAAAAUAGUAAAUGAAACUAGGUUGUCGAUACAGAUAGAAAGACAUAUAUUAAAAGACAGGAGAAGAUAGAAGUAGAAUCUAAUAAUAUGCAAAACAGGACAAAUAUCGGGCUAGCUGCCUAUAAUAUUCCGACAAUACUGUCUUAUACUCUCAAAUUCAUUUAAUUCCUAAGUGACUGGCCAUUCGAAAUUCUCUAAUUGUAAUUAUAAUUUUAAAACGGCAAUUUUGGGUUAGAAGUAGAGAUAGUUUCUUCGACGCCAUCUUGGACCAUUGAUUAUUCCAUAUUCUCUUGGCUUGAUGGGUUUUCUUGUUUGUUACAUUUGAUGAUGAUAAAUUUGACUGACUGAUUGCGGCUUUUACUACUAACUUAAUUGUUGUUUGAGUAGAAACAUAUCCAAGAAAAUUGGAAAAUAAAAUUCACUGUUGUUUUACUUUUUUGAUUAAAACUGUAUUUUUUAUCUCACCAUCACCGAAAUUUUUAUGAUUUUAUAUAGUAGAAUAUUAAUUUCGGUUUUUUCGAUAUAAGUUUCUGGAAC
rnacentral:lncRNA from 1 species